AUUGAACGCUGGCGGCAUGCCUUACACAUGCAAGUCGAACGGUAACGGGCCUUCGGGUGCCGACGAGUGGCGAACGGGUGAGUAAAGUAUCGGAACGUACCUUUCAGUGGGGGAUAACGUAGCGAAAGUUACGCUAAUACCGCAUAUUCUGUGAGCAGGAAAGCAGGGGAUCGCAAGACCUUGCGCUGAUUGAGCGGCCAAUAUCAGAUUAGCUAGGUGGUGAGGUAAAGGCUCUCCAAGGCGACGAUCUGUAGCGGGUCUGAGAGGAUGAUCCGCCACACUGGAACUGAGACACGGUCCAGACUCCUACGGGAGGCAGCAGUGGGGAAUUUUGGACAAUGGGGGCAACCCUGAUCCAGCCAUGCCGCGUGAGUGAAGAAGGCCUUCGGGUUGUAAAGCUCUUUCGGCCGGGAAGAAAUCGUAUCAGCUAAUACCUGGUGCGGAUGACGGUACCGGCAUAAGAAGCACCGGCUAACUACGUGCCAGCCGCCGCUGUAACAC
rnacentral:rRNA from 1 species